rnacentral:tRNA from 1 species
UAAAUGAAAGCCAAAAAGAGGCACCUAGUUGUUAGUUAGGAGAUUGUAGUAAAUGUCUACUCAUUUAG